GAUGAACGCUGGCGGCGUGCCUAAUACAUGCAAGUCGAGCGAACAGACGAGGAGCUUGCUCCUCUGACGUUAGCGGCGGACGGGUGAGUAACACGUGGAUAACCUACCUAUAAGACUGGGAUAACUUCGGGAAACCGGAGCUAAUACCGGAUAACAUGUUGAACCGCAUGGUUCAACAGUGAAAGACGAUCUUGCUGUCACUUAUAGAUGGAUCCGCGCCGCAUUAGCUAGUUGGUAAGGUAACGGCUUACCAAGGCAACGAUGCGUAGCCGACAUAAGAGGGUGAUCGGCCACACUGGAACUGAGACACGGUCCAGACUCCUACGGGAGGCAGCAGUAGGGAAUCUUCCGCAAUGGGCGAAAGCCUGACGGAGCAACGCCGCGUGAGUGAAGAAGGUCUUCGGAUCGUAAAACUCUGUUAUUAGGGAAGAACAAAUGUGUAAAUAACUAUGCACGUCUUGACGGUACCUAAUCAGAAAGCCACGGCUAACUACGUGCCAGCAGCCGCGGUAA
rnacentral:rRNA from 1 species